GCUUGCGGCUGCUUACCAUGCAAGUCGAACGGCAGCACGGGUGCUUGCACCUGGUGGCGAGUGGCGAACGGGUGAGUAAUAUAUCGGAACGUACCUUGUAGUGGGGGAUAGCUCGGCGAAAGCCGGAUUAAUACCGCAUACGCUCUGAGGAGGAAAGCGGGGGACCUUCGGGCCUCGCGCUACAAGAGCGGCCGAUAUCAGAUUAGCUAGUUGGUGGGGUAAAAGCUUACCAAGGCGACGAUCUGUAGCUGGUCUGAGAGGACGACCAGCCACACUGGGACUGAGACACGGCCCAGACUCCUACGGGAGGCAGCAGUGGGGAAUUUUGGACAAUGGGCGAAAGCCUGAUCCAGCAAUGCCGCGUGUGUGAAGAAGGCCUUCGGGUUGUAAAGCACUUUUGUCCGGAAAGAAAUCCUCUGGGUUAAUACCUCGGGGGGAUGACGGUACCGGAAGAAUAAGCACCGGCUAACUACGUGCCAGAGC
rnacentral:rRNA from 1 species